rnacentral:misc_RNA from 1 species
GUAACAAGGUUUCCGUAGGUGAACCUGCGGAAGGAUCAUUACCGAGUGCGGGCUGCCUCCGGGCGCCCAACCUCCCACCCGUGACUACCUAACACUGUUGCUUCGGCGGGGAGCCCUCUCGGGGGCGAGCCGCCGGGGACUACUGAACUUCAUGCCUGAGAGUGAUGCAGUCUGAGUCUGAAUAUAAAAUCAGUCAAAACUUUCAACAAUGGAUCUCUUGGUUCCGGCAUCGAUGAAGAACGCAGCGAACUGCGAUAAGUAAUGUGAAUUGCAGAAUUCAGUGAAUCAUCGAGUCUUUGAACGCACAUUGCGCCCCCUGGCAUUCCGGGGGGCAUGCCUGUCCGAGCGUCAUUGCUGCCCAUCAAGCCCGGCUUGUGUGUUGGGUCGUCGUCCCCCCCGGGGGACGGGCCCGAAAGGCAGCGGCGGCACCGUGUCCGGUCCUCGAGCGUAUGGGGCUUUGUCACCCGCUCGAUUAGGGCCGGCCGGGCGCCAGCCGACGUCUCCAACCAUUUUCUUCAGGUUGACCUCGGAUCAGGUAGGGAUACCCGCUGAACUUAAGCAUAUCAAUAAGCGGAGGAAAAGAAACCAACCGGGAUUGCCCCAGUAACGGCGAGUGAAGCGGCAAGAGCUCAAAUUUGAAAUCUGGCCCCUCCGGGGUCCGAGUUGUAAUUUGCAGAGGAUGCUUCGGGUGCGGCCCCUGUCUAAGUGCCCUGGAACGGGCCGUCAGAGAGGGUGAGAAUCCCGUCUUGGGCAGGGUGCCCGUGCCCGUGUGAAGCUCCUUCGACGAGUCGAGUUGUUUGGGAAUGCAGCUCUAAAUGGGUGGUAAAUUUCAUCUAAAGCUAAAUACCGGCCGGAGACCGAUAGCGCACAAGUAGAGUGAUCGA